UACGGAGGGAGCUAGCGUUGUUCGGAAUUACUGGGCGUAAAGGGCUCGUAGGUGGCCAACUAAGUCAGACGUGAAAUCCCUCAGCUUAACUGGGGAACUGCGUCUGAUACUGGAUGGCUUGAGAUUGGGAGAGGGAUGCGGAAUUCCAGGUGUAGCGGUGAAAUGCGUAGAUAUCUGGAGGAACACCGGUGGCGAAGGCGGCAUCCUGGACCAACACUGACACUGAGGAGCGAAAGCCAGGGGAGCAAACGGG
rnacentral:rRNA from 1 species